rnacentral:lncRNA from 1 species
UUUUUUUUUUUUCUUUUUUGUUUUUGCUUCUUUGUUUCUAUUAACCCAGGGAACCAAAAUGAUCAUCACAAAAUUGACCUGAGGAAUUUAUACUUUUCUUCUUCCCUCCUUUGAGUCUGGGUCUCUCUUCUCCUCCCUCCAGAUUUCAAAUUGGCUCCAGAUUUUAUAUGAGAAGCAGUAACAGAUCUAAAAGAAACAAACUGAGAAGGAAUUUAAGGAGCAAACUAACUGAUGAACUCUAAUCUGCUCGCUACAGGUUUGAGUGAAAAAUCCAUGCUAUGCUCAAGAAGAAUUCAGCCAUUCACAGAGGAGGUCAGGUCAGGCUGAUGUCUAUAUUUGGCAUCUCAAAAAAAAAAAAAAAAUUACAUCAUUUAUACAUUCAACAUUUAGGGAACACUUUACCAAGAGUCUGGCUAGUUGUUACAGAUUAUCGAGUUGAAUAAAACAAGGCUUUUUCUGCCUCCAAGAUUCAAUUAGGUAACUGCCAACACCACCGCUCAUAUAUUUUCACACACCUGUCUUCUCACUGAAUCUGUAAUUUUUACUUAGGGCAAGAACAGUAUUCAUUUACAUAUGCUUAGUAAACACUAGCUGAUGAUUUACUAAAGGCUCCUGUGCUUUAUGAGUUCAUGGUGAAACAAAAGAGUUGAGCAUAUAAAUAGCAAAUUAAGAUUACAGGGUAAUACUGCUGCUACAGAGAAAAGAGCCAAAGCAUGGGGCCACAAAGGAAGCCUGCUGAGGCAGGGGUAGGCGUAACCGCAGAUGUGACACUGAAAUAAGAGUUGAAAGAUAAGGAGAACUCUAUCAGUGGAGGAAAAGUGAUAGUAGAGGGAAUUUCCUGCAGAGAAAACAGCAUGUACAAAAAUAACUAAUAGCUAAUAAUUAUCAAGGACUUUUUGGGAGUUCCCAUCGUGGCGCAGAGAAACGAAUCCGACUAGUAACCAUGAGGCUGCAGGUUUGAUCCCUGGCCUUGUUCAGUGGUUAAGGAUCUGGAGUUGCCAUGAGGUCGAAUAUGCGGCUCGGAUCCUGCAUUGCUGUGGCUGUGGUGUAGGCCGGCAGCUGUAGCUCCAAUCAACCCCUAGCCUGGGAACCUCCAUAUGCCAUGGGUGUGGCCUGAAAAAGCAUUAAAAAAAAAAAAAAAGAAUUAUAUGAAACAGGUUGAGAAUAUAUUAAGGAUUAAUUCAAUCAUAGUUAUUAUAUUUCAGAAAAGAAAUAGCAUAUAUGGAAUGCCUAUGCCAUAAAAUAAUUUUCAUAUAUUAUUUCAUCUCUACAGCAACCCGGUAGAGUAUAAAAACCCUAUGAUGCUAUCACUUUAAUCUUACAUUGAGGAAAAUGAGACUCAGAGGCAUUUAAGUAACUUGUCCAAGGUCACACAGGUAGCACUUAGCAGAGCCUGCUUUCAGACCAAGGUCUUUCUGAGUCCAAAGCCUCAGUCUCUGUUCUUUGCAGUUUACCUGCCUGCACCCCAGAUAAGUUCCAGUGUAGAAAAAAUAAGGAGGAAUCAGAUAUGCCCCAAAUGUCUGAGGUCAGUGUGAGGGACUAGAAAGGAAAGAUUGGAUCACAUUCACAUGUAGCUUGGGAUGUGUAUGAAAAAUGUUUGGAACAUGUGCAAGAUGAGGCAGGGGAGAAACCAAAAGGGAAGAAGACAGCCAACAGCAAAUGUCAUGCUCCUCAACUUCUCUUUCAGCUAAUAACACAAUAAUAGUAGAGAUGACUCAUAAUCAUAUUUCAGUCCUUGUGCUAGGAGUCUCCAAGGUAAAAAUCCCAUAUUGUAAUACCAGUGUGUUGUUUCCUCUUGAUCUUACUACCAUUAUGUCCCAGAAAAUGUUCCAAAACCUAACAGAGGAAGUUCAGAAAAAUCACAGGAAAUAUCUAACCUCCUUUAUUCUAAGAAAUGGAAACAAACUCUUCAAGGUUAGUUCUUAUGUGCAUCAUUAGCAUCAAGGCAUGUUGGAAGAGGAUUCAGGUAACUAAUAAAGCAUAGAUGGCUUCAAAUCACCCUACAGAAAAACAAAAGCUCUUUCACAAUAACAUAACAAAAAAACUUGAUUUCUGGUGUUUUCCUCUGUCACACAGCUCCCCUAAACUUGGAACAAAUAGGCCUUUGCAUUCUCCAGUCAAUGCCCAGGAAACUUUCAUACUGUAAAUGUUUUGAGUCAUGCAGUCAGCAGUCAGGUUAGGCACAAGUAGAAAUGGCAGCACAGAAAACCAAACCAAACAAACAAACAAAACUCUCCUUGGAAUAAAAAGUUCUCAAGUGAGGCACCAUACCAAGUUCUCCCACCUGAUGCCACAAGGCUGUGAACCCAGAAAGAUGCAUAGUCCAGGCUUAGAACGCAAACUUGGAGAAAGAAAACAAAGAAGGGGUGGCUCAGCAGACUCUGAUAGGGAGUGAAAUAAUCCUGCCUGUUUAAAUUUAUAAGGACAGUUUGAAAUUCUCUACUAAUACAUCCAUCCUCUUGUGAACUUUUCCGAAGUAGAACUAAUGGCAUAGAAGUUAGCAGAUCUCACAGAAAACUCAUUCCUAAGGGACUACCUGUAAACUCAGAAGUUUCUGUCUUCACGUGAUCAAAUGCUCAGCAGAACCCCCUCUUGCUCACUCACCGGCACUCAAAGUGCUUUACCCCUCAGCACCAAAACCCCCUGUGCCCAGCCUUUCCUCUUCUCUUCUUGGCCCCAGAAAGGCCUCAGGCAAUAGAGCUGCGGGACCCGGGGGAGCACCCCUCCCCUCCCUGCCAUCCCCAUUAUUCGGCACACAGCCCUGUUCUCCCCUGGAGCCAACAGUCUGCAGCUCCUUCAAUGCAGGCGCGAGCAGGCAAGAAUAGUGGGAAGAGAAGCUGUGCCAGCUGCAUGUUUCAGAAUCUCCCUCCAUAUGCAUUUGCCAAAGGAACAAAAAGAAAAUCAACGCCAGGAAGACAACUGAGAUGAGGAUGCGGUGGGACCGCGGCUGACUCCGUGCCUCUUAGCAGCAAGAGGCUGGCCAACCACGCGUCCGAGCCAUAGAUGCGAGUGGUUACCUUCAGGAUGCAGGCCAUGGCGCUCCGCCGGCCCUCCUGCCACCAAGCAGCCGGCGCGCCUGGGUCAGGGGCAGUCCCGGCGGCAGGCUGGAGGCUGGUACCGCUGCAGGACCGCUCCAACCCACAU